rnacentral:rRNA from 1 species
CCUACGUGGCGCAGCAGUGAGGAAUAUUGGUCAAUGGGCGCGAGCCUGAACCAGCCAAGUAGCGUGAAGGAUGACUGCCCUACGGGUUGUAAACUUCUUUUAUAAAGGAAUAAAGUGAGGCACGUGUGCCUUUUUGUAUGUACUUUAUGAAUAAGGAUCGGCUAACUCCGUGCCAGCAGCCGCGGUAAUACGGAGGAUCCGAGCGUUAUCCGGAUUUAUUGGGUUUAAAGGGAGCGUAGAUGGGUUGUUAAGUCAGUUGUGAAAGUUUGCGGCUCAACCGUAAAAUUGCAAUUGAUACUGGCAGUCUUGAGUACAGGUGAGGUAAGCGGAAUUCGUGGUGUAGCGGUGAAAUGCUUAGAUAUCACGAAGAACUCCGAUUGCGAAGGCAGCUUACUAAACUGCCACUGACAUUGAUGCUCGAAAGUGUGGGUAUCAAACAGGAUUAGAUACCCCAGUAGUC